GCAGAUCCGGAAGUCGCUGGGCUGGCCGGACGGGCGCGGCUCGGUCGGCGAGCGUAGUCCCUGGCUGGCAACUUGUCUGUCCUUCCCUGACCCUGGAAGGUAUUUCGGUGCUUGCCUUGGACGGCCCCAAGGUGAGCGUGACCUUCUGGCCGCGGCAGACCGACCUCGCCAAACCUGGGGCAGCCCCAACAGGGGAACCGGAGGCUGACGAGUGAGCACCAGCACAGAUCUGGGGCCCUCAUCUGCUGCCCCGAAAUCAGCCGACUGUCACCUGGGCCACUCGUACCGGGACUGCCAGAAUGGCAGGCUACUCGGAAAGUAUGCCUGGCAUCUUUGCAAGGGUGGGGCGGCCCAGAGUCAGACCAGGACUGACGUCGUGGGAGGAGAGAACCACUCCUUGAAGUUCACACACACUAAAAAGAGCACCAAAGAGCUGUGUUUCCUCACAGUUAAUAAGUACCAUUGAAUAGCAGAAAUGUACUCCAGUUUCAAGUGUUAAAGUACCACUUGUCAUGUUGUAUACGUGGCCCAAACUUCUCUGGGAAACUGUUAAUACAAAUGUCUGUUACUUUAUACUCUGAAGUGAAUGUUUAGAGUUUAUAUGCAUCUCAAAUUAUUUAGUAAGACUAAAGUGAAAAUAUGUUAUAUGAAUUUUGCUAAGCAACAUAGAUAAAUGUUAAUAAUCAUGCAUAUCCAUAAGUUUUCUGUCACAAGCUAUUUUUCCUCAUCCUCUUGAGCAUUCUAUUCUCCAUAAUAAACAAAAACAAACUCCUGCAAUACUAUGUGAAGCUUCGGGGCUUUUCUCAAUGAAACUUCAAACAGAUUUACAAGGACCAUAGAAUGAUCUUUCAUGGGGAGUGCAGAAACAUCAUUUCAACUUACUAAAGCAUGGGCCGUUCUGCCUUCCCCCUCCUUGUGUUAUCUCUAUCCUAUUGCUUGUAAACUCCUAUCCAUUUACUGUAUUCUUUUUCCCCACUUCUCAAUUAGAAUAUACUGUGGGUGAUGUGAAGGUUGGUUUCUGUAUAAGACUACUUAUUCUUGGCUUCCACUGAAUUUUUAAUUUAGUAUCUGUCAAUGUUUCAGUGAAUUUUCAAGGAACAACUAAAAGUGCUUUUUACCAAGAACAGAACUGACUCCGUUCCUCCACAUGUAUGUGUGUACAAUCAAUUGAAUCAAAUGUAAUUUUUAAAGUGAAUUUUUUUUUUUUUUAGUUUUAUAACUGGAGGAAUUAUGCAGUCUGAGUACUACAAAUCAUUUGAAUUUUUAAGUCUCUUUUUCUCAGCUUAAACUUAAGCGUCUUCUAGUCUUUAUCAGACAUGUCUGUAAUUCUGGAUCUUUUAAGUGUUUAACAUGCUGAUUGUAAGCUCUUCUUUAAAUAUUAACCCCACCCCUGAAUAAUGAUACGCAUUCAGUACUAACAUUUGUUAGCAGCACCUUACAACUUGCUCAAGCCCUCUUCUUCUGUCUGGCCUUGUAUUAGCACUCAUUAUUUUUCUAUCAAGAACCAUCCAAUUAUGUCUCUUCCCUUCCUAAGGAUUGUCACUGGUUUUGUUUUGUAGAUGGAUAAAACUUGAACAUAGCACAACAUAUCUUGUCUGGAUUGGGUUUAGGUACCAACUCAUCUCACACUAUACUUGAUUAAAUUCUCCUCUGAUGAAUCUUUAAAUUGGAUGGAUUUUUAAAAUUCAUAGGACUCUGGAGAGAAUGACACAAAUUAUGAGGCAUUUAUAGAAUACAAUAAAUUCUGUAAAUAUUAAAUGUUAAUAUUUAAUAUCAUUAAUAACACAUUUUAAUAUUUAAAGCCAAGUAAGUUUCUAUGAAAAAUUCUUGCCCUCAGAUGUCUCAAAGGCCAUUCAAACAAAACUGCAAGGAUAGUUGCAUCUGAGGCAGUAAUACUUUCUAUUCUUUAUUCUCCCAAUCCUAGUAUUGACCCACCAUUGAUUUUUAUCACUAUCUAAUAGCUUGAAAAACCAUUUGAUUCUGUGACAGGAGCCAGAUCUUGAGAUCCAUACUAUAUUUCGAUUUCAUACUUCUGGCAGUGCUUGUUAUUGUUGAUUUUUUAAAUGUACUUUUUUAUUGAAAAUACGAAAGUAUUCUUAGAUUUGUGUCUCUUGGAUUUUACAUUACAGUUCUACUUAGCUGUCUUAACUAAUCUAGAUUUUAUCAUUUACCCUCAGUUUUACAAAUGAGGGAUUGAUUUAUGAAGACCAAUCAAUACACUUCUAAUUAGUGUUCCUUAGUAAAAGGAGUGUAAAAGUAAAACCAGGUGGUGAGUUCUAAGGCCAUAACCAUACUACACAAUCCUGCCCCUUACUUUGGUAUCAAUUCAAAUUAAGGUCUUAAAAGGGUAUGAACUUGAAAGUUUAGAAGUAAACCAAGUUUCUCAAUGAUAGAACUAUUUUGUGGGCAUAGGGCAGGGAAUAGCUCAGUUAAUUCACAGGCCAUUCUGUGGAUGUUAUGUUUUUUAAAAAUGUAUUUUAGUAUUCUAUUUGGAUAUUCUCUCUGCAUGUAUGACGACCAUGCACCAUGUGCAUGCUUCAUGCUUAGAGACCAAAAGAGGGCACUGGAUCCUCUGGCAUUGGAAUUACAAAAAGCUGUGGGUGCUGGGACCUGAACAUGCUCUUUGGAAGAGCAGCCAAUGCUCUAGGUGGCUGAGUCUAGAGCCCACUCUAGCUCCACAUUUUCUGAUUUUUGACAUCUCUGGCUUCCAUCACCUGAUACUCUUAGCCAUAACUGUCUGUCUUCAGACCCCAGGACAAGGAGCUGAAGUGCAUAUUUUACAUACCAAAGCAGACCUGGCCUCCAGCUUCUCCCAGCAUCCCUCUGUCCCUAUCUGAUAUACCCUGCCCCCAACCUUGAACUUUCUAGUUUAGGAGCUUGGGCUGUUCUUCCCCCAGAGACUCUUCCCUAUAUAAUCCAUACAUUUUGCACCACCCUCGCUGGAUGUGCUCUUUUUCUUCCCCCUCCCCUCUUUCUCCCUCCUCAUGGCUGCAAAUCUGCCCAUGUAUACUUUGGCUUAUUUACUAGUGGAGAAAUAACUUACUAUUGAUAAUGCCUCUGCAGACACUCUAGUACUCCCAGGACAGAAAAAUCAAUUCCUUUCCUGAUUAACAAUUUAUAUCAUGCUACACCAUACACCUACUGAAAUUGUAUUUCAGAAAAAAAUUAGAAGACAUGGAAUCAGCCAGAUGGUGGUGGCGCACACCUUUAAUCCCAGCACUCGGGAGGCAGAGGCCAGCCUGGUCUACAAAGUGAGUUCAAGGACAGCCAGGGCUAUACAGAGAAACCCUGUCUCGAAAAACAAACAAACAAACACACAAAGGCAUGGAAUCAGACUACUGUAAUUCCCAUUUUUAUGGUUAUCUCUGGAAAUCUGUGAAUGAGGAUCCUAAAAUCUUGCCAUUCAUUUCCUAGGCAUAUUAAACUUCAAUCAUGGUAGCUUAGAAAAUAAAAUUCUAAAGAUUUCUAAAAAGAUUUUAUUUCUAAAACAAUCUAAAAUGAUGAUAUAAACAUGAGGUAGUGGUAUGAUUUAAAAAAAAAAGUAAUGGAAUUUAUCAAAACUUCUUUGCUCCACUUUGGGUUUUCAAGGUAGGGUUUCCCUGUGUAGCCCUGGAUGUAGAACUAAACUCUGUGGACUGGCUGACCUUGAACUCAGAGAUCUGCCUGCCUCUACUGAGUGCUGGGAUUAAAGGCUUAUGGCACUACCUCCAGCAAUCAAAACUCUUAAAAUACAAAGGGAUACUUUUUUCUUAUUUGUACCUAUUCUAUAUUUUUUAAACCAUGUAUGUUCUAUAUCUUUUAAACUGUGUAUCUUUUGUAACCUAUAAUAAAAUUAAGGCUUCUUUCUA